rnacentral:rRNA from 1 species
UACGUAGGGUGCGAGCGUUAAUCGGAAUUACUGGGCGUAAAGCGUGCGCAGGCGGUUCGUUGUGUCGGUGGUGAAAGCCCCGGGCUCAACCUGGGAAUGGCAUUGGAAACUAGCGGGCUCGAGUGUGGCAGAGGGGGGUGGAAUUCCACGUGUAGCAGUGAAAUGCGUAGAGAUGUGGAGGAACACCGAUGGCGAAGGCAGCCCCCUGGGCUAACACUGACGCUCAGGCACGAAAGCGUGGGGAGCAAACAGG